AUACCCUGGGUAGUCCACGCCCUAAACGAUGUCGACUGGUUUUUGGGGGUUUUGCCACUCUCAGUAACGAAGCUAACGCGUGAAGUCGACCGCCUGGGGAGUACGGCCGCAAGGUUAAAACUCAAAGGAAUUGACGGGGACCCGCACAAGCGGUGGAUUAUGUGGAUUAAUUCGAUGCAACGCGAAAAACCUUACCUACCCUUGACAUGUCCUGAAUCCUGGAGAGAUCCGGGGGUGCCCGAAAGGGAACGGGAACACAGGUGCUGCAUGGCUGUCGUCAGCUCGUGUCGUGAGAUGUUGGGUUAAGUCCCGCAACGAGCGCAACCCUUGUCAUUAGUUGCUACCGCAAGGAGCACUCUAAUGAGACUGCCGGUGACAAACCGGAGGAAGGUGGGGAUGACGUCAAGUCCUCAUGGCCCUUAUGGGUAGGGCUUCACACGUAAUACAAUGGUCGGUACAGAGGGUUGCCAAGCCGCGAGGCGGAGCCAAUCCCAGAAAGCCGAUCGUAGUCCGGAUCGCAGUCUGCAACUCGACUGCGUGAAGUCGGAAUCGCUAGUAAUCGCGGAUCAGCAUGUCGCGGUGAAUACGUUCCCGGGUCUUGUACACACCGCCCGUCACACCAUGGGAGCGGGUUUCACCAGAAGCCGGUCGCCUAACCGCAAGGGGGGCGCCGACCACGGUGAGAUUCGUGACUGGGGUGAAGUCGUAACAAGGUAGCC
rnacentral:rRNA from 1 species